AGAUAGACUAUAGUACAGGUCAGAUAGACUAUAGUACAGGUCAGAUAGACUAUAGUACAGGUCAGAUAGACCAUAGUACAGGUCAGAUAGAUAGACUAUAGUACAGGUCAGAUAGAUAGACUAUAGUACAGGUCAGAUAGGAAGACUAUAGUACAGGUCAGAGAGAUAGACCAUAGUACAGGUCAGAUAGAUAGACUAUAGUACAGGUCAGAUAGACUAUAGUACAGGUCAGAUAGACCAUAGUACAGGUCAGAUAGACUAUAGUACAGGUCAGAUAGAUAGACUAUAGUACAGGUCAGAUAGAUAGACUAUAGUACAGGUCAGAUAGAUAGACCAUAGUACAGGUCAGAUAGAUAAACUAUAGUACAGGUCAGAUAGACCAUAGUACAGGUCAGAUAGAUAGACUAUAGUACAGGUCAGAUAGACUAUAGUACAGGUCAGAUAGAUAGACUAUAGUACAGGUCAGAUAGACCAUAGUACAGGUCAGAUAGACCAUAGUACAGGUCAGAUAGACCAUAGUACAGGUCAGAUAGACCAUAGUACAGGUCAGAUAGAUAGACUAUAGUACAGGUCAGAUAGACUAUAGUACAGGUCAGAUAGACCAUAGUACAGGUCAGAUAGAUAGACUAUAGUACAGGUCAGAUAGACUAUAGUACAGGUCAGAUAGACUAUAGUACAGGUCAGAUAGACCAUAGUACAGGUCAGAUAGAUAGACUAUAGUACAGGUCAGAUAGAUAGACUAUAGUACAGGUCAGAUAGACUAUAGUACAGGUCAGAUAGACUAUAGUACAGGUCAGAUAGACCAUAGUACAGGUCAGAUAGACUAUAGUACAGGUCAGAUAGACCAUAGUACAGGUCAGAUAGACUAUAGUACAGGUCAGAUAGAUAGACCAUAGUACAGGUCAGAUAGACUAUAGUACAGGUCAGAUAGACCAUAGUACAGGUCAGAUAGACCAUAGUACAGGUCAGAUAGACUAUAGUACAGGUCAGAUAGGUAGACUAUAGUACAGGUCAGAUAGAUAGACCAUAGUACAGGUCAGAUAGACUAUAGUACAGGUCAGAUAGACCAUAGUACAGGUCAGAUAGAUAGACUAUAGUACAGGUCAGAUAGAUAGACUAUAGUACAGGUCAGAUAGACUAUAGUACAGGUCAGAUAGACUAUAGUACAGGUCAGAUAGGUAGACUAUAGUACAGGUCAGAUAGAUAGACCAUAGUACAGGUCAGAUAGACUAAAGUACAGGUCAGAUAGAUAGACUAUAGUACAGGUCAGAUAGAUAGACUAUAGUACAGGUCAGAUAGAUAGAGCAUAGUACAGGUCAGAAAGACUGUAGUACAGGUCAGAUAGAUAGACUAUA